UCAACUUCACUAUUAACGAGUCACCUCUUAUUUGAUUUCGUUUGUUUCAGCAUCUUGGAGCUCAAUGCUUCUUCCGUAAAUCAUUGAAUUUCAAAUGUUAAUUGAUCACCAACUUCCUAUUUGAAGAUAACAAACCCUAAUUUUGAGCCAAUUUCAAUCAAGGCCUAAAUAUCAAACAUAAAGAAAGAUGCCACACAAGACGCGUCCAAUGGCUGCGGUUUUGCUGUUUACCGGGCUUAAUGUUGUUUUAGUUUCAACGAUUUCUCCGGUCUAUGACUUUGUCUGCUUUCUCCCGUAUUGGGAACGAAGGAGAGAACGCAGGCGUCUGGAGAGGGAAGCUACUCUAGCAUAGGGUCUCAUCAUGACAUUGAGAUGGAGGUAUUGUUACUAUCAGCAGCUGUUGAUCAUGUGAUCCUCACAAGUUCAAGAAAGAAGGUUUACCUUUUUUUGCUUUGGUGGGUAGUGAUGGUCCUCACUGGAUUAUAGCUGUUUGCAUCUUACUGUUUUUAUUCUUAUUUUAUCUUUUUUCCAUUUGGUUAUGAUGGUUUCUGAAACAUCCCUCUUUCUCAUGAGUUGGAGUGUACAAAUGAUUUAUGGAAAUUUGGAUGUAGAUGUAGUUAUUACCGUACCUAAUGCCACUUGCCCAGCACAAGCUGCGUUUUACCUAA